rnacentral:tRNA from 1 species
GGGUCGUUAGCUCAGUCGGUAGAGCAGCGGACUCUUAAUCCGCGGGUCGUAGGUUCGAUCCCUACACGACCCACCA